rnacentral:tRNA from 1 species
GGGCUUAUGGCGAAAUUGGCAGACGCGUCAGACUUAGGAUCUGAUGUCGAAAGACGUGGGGGUUCGAAUCCCUUUAGGCCCACCA